GCAGUCUAGGAGACUCAGAUCCUCAGGGUUGCAAACGUAUGGAAACCUUCUGGCUCACUUGAGACUGCCCUUACUAGGGAAGAAGCUCCUGAGAGUCAUCAGAAGUACAGCUGAAAAGCCAAUAUCAGCACCAAUGGGAUGCACCUCUAGGCUCUGCAGCUGACAAACUCUCAAGUGGAAUGGCCUUCUGAAUCUUCAAUACCGUGAUGCCAUGCCAGCCUACCUGUGCUCUGAAAUUUAUAUGACCCAGCCUCAGGAAACUCAAUUAUCUUGAUGGGAAGCCACAUCGACCCAGCUCCAUAUCAUUAUGAAAACUGAUUUUUGCAAGACAAAAAAAAAAUAUCCAAGAAUAAAGCACAUAUAGACAGAAAUCUGGAAUAAGUUCCUGAUUAAUUUAUAAUUAUUAAAAGUGAACAUCUCAGCUGAUAUGGAGAUAAUUGAGGUUUGUCUGUAAUGAUUCAGCUGGUCCAAUUUUGGAAUCUAUUUAUCAUACACCAUGUGUUAGAGAUCAACAGCCAAAUCCAGGUUGGGCUUUAGCAAUCCCAGUCUGGUUCCCUUCUUUAUUUCUCCACUAACAUGUGGUGAGGAGCAUGCUUCCACUUCUCUCUUUAUGUUUUUUAGUUUUGGCUCCUGAUCUAUAGUGGGCGACUGUGAAGACGAGAACACACAUGUACUACAAGGAACUUCUGCAUGCACACGAAGUCCUCCGACUUCUAGAAUAUGAAAAUCCCCCACCUCCGUCAGCUUGCAAUAAGCUAGAAAUGAAGAGAACUGUAGCCUCCCAAGCACAACUGUAAAAUUCUAAUUAAAAAAUUGAUUGAUGAAGAAACAAAGAUAGUGUCAUUUAACACUGGCCAGCUGUUUGCCAAACCCAUUUACUUUUCCUCCUGGGCAUGUGGUUAAAGGACGUUUUCCAGUCUGCAAUAAACUGAUGUCUUGACAGUCUUUUAACCAGUGGAAUCUGAGUGGAAAUGACGUAUACUACCUCAAUGCCUGGCAAUAAACAUUUUUGGUGCCUCAAUCUCCAUGAUUUUUCCCUUGCAUAGCUUGAUGCAGAUGUACAUAGUCACUUGGAAGCCACAUGUUGAUGACAGAGCCAUAAGACCAAAGGAUCCUGGGUCCUUGAAUCACUACUUGCAGAAGAACUGGCGAGUGCUUAAGAACACCUCUUUUAGACUUUAUAUGCCCAUCCUGCCAAAUCCAAGACCUUUCCAGGCCAGCUGAGAGUUGAGCAUUGCUGAACCUCCGAGUUGAAAGGAGAGUUAGAGGUCAUCAAUCUUAGCCCUGCUCUGUUGCAUGUGCCAAACCAUGUAGGGUUUCAGGUCCCCAGACUUUUACGGAAUAGGCCAAGUGACUUUUGAAGGGCCACCUGUCUGCUAAACUUUCUUGGUUCUGCUACUCCCGACUCCUUAGAAACUUAGCACUAAAGACACCAGCGCUCUCAAGGCCUUCUUCUCCUGUUGCCCCUUGCUUCAGUCUCUUCAGAUCAUGUGUUCUAGGAGCAAGAACUUCAGGAAGUCAUCAAAAUCACUGAACGACUGGAGAUGGCCAAAGUCAUUGCUUUGUUUGGAACAUUGGCUCUGAUUAAAAGUUUUUGGUUAAGACUCAGCUACUUAUUGUUGGAAACUUGUAUGGCCUGGCCUGGAUGCACUGACCGUAUUGAAUGUGCACUUUUGAUGGAUCCAUCUGUCUCACCAGCUGCACCGUGGAGAGCCUGCCCUACCAGCUACAGAAUACCAAAACCCUAUGGGACAAGGCAUAUCACUGUGUCUUCUUUAUGUAUGAAGAAACUGAAGUUUCCUGAGGAAUAGAACUGACCUUUUCCAUCUGUGAACCCCUGUUUGUGGCCUCACCCUAUGCCCUGUAUGUAACAAAAUUGCUUCUCAAAGUGCAUCCAAAGGGCCACCUGCAUUAGAAUGUCCUGAAAGCCUGUUAAAGAGAAGAUUCCUGGACACUUCCCCAAACUCAAUGGAUCAAGAUCACUGGCAGUGGCCCAGGAUUUUGUGUUUUAACAACCUGCUGAAGUAAGUC
ensembl:lncRNA